rnacentral:rRNA from 1 species
GUUUGACGUUAGCUGCAGAAGAAGCACCGGCUAACUCCGUGCCAGCAGCCGCGGUAAUACGGAGGGUGCGAGCGUUAAUCGGAAUUACUGGGCGUAAAGACGCAUGCAGGUGGUUUGUUAAGUCAGAUGUGAAAGACCCGGGGCGUCAACCUCGGAAUUGCAUUUGAAACUAGGCAGACUAGAGUACUGUAGAGGGGGGUAGGAAUUUACUAGGUGUAGCGGUGAAAUGCGUAGAGAUCUGAAGGAAUACCGGUGGCGAAGGCGGCCCCCUGGACAGAUACUGACACUCAGAUGCGAAAGCGUGGGGAGCAAACAGGAUUAGAUACCCCUGGUAG